rnacentral:lncRNA from 1 species
AUCCCCACUAUAAGAAACAAACAUAAAUACAAAUAUACAAAAAUAUAGGCACAUAUAUACAUACAUACAUAAGUAGUAGUGUAGUGUGUGUGUGUGUGUGUGUGUGUGUGUGUGUGUGUGUGUGUGUGUGUGUGUGUGUGUGUGUGUGUGUGUGUGUGUUGUGUGUGUGUGUGUGUGUGUGUGUGUGUGUUUCUGGUCUUCAGUGUGGAUAUCAGCCGGUUUCUAUUUCUGCCGCUCAGUUAAAGCCUAUUUAAAUCCAUGUGUACGGGUCUGUCUCUCUCUGCGGUCGUCUGCAGGCUCAGUAAUUUAAGCUCCGCUGCGUCUCUCUCUCGUCUCGUUCGGGACUUUCCCCGCUCGGGGACAGACGUCUGUCAGGAUCCAGCAGGACGUUUGCGCUUGUCCUCCGGUCCGUGUGGAGUACUCUCUUCUCUCCGCCUGUCUCUCUCUCCUGUCUGAACGCAUCUGCCCUAGUCUGAAGUGUGUUUGUUCUCAAAAACAUUUUUAUACUUCUGUACUUAUAUUUUUGGACAUGUCUCACUCCUGACCGAUCGAGACAGAGACAGACAUGGAGUUGUGCUUUUUCUGAUCGGCUGUUUUUAUCGAAUCGUCUGAACGAUGGCGCAGAGACACAUGGAUGGUGUAGAUAACCAGUUCAGGAUGUCGAUUCUGGAGCGUUUGGAGCAGAUGGAGCGGCGAAUGGCAGAAAUGUCAAACAACAACCAGCAGAAUCAACACAUGAAUCACUAUCAUCAGCAGCUGUCGAGGAACCAGAGCUCCGCUCCGCGCCUGACUCCUGAAAACCAGGUACGAGCACACAGCAAAACCUUUUCAUCUGCUGUAGUCCGAGUUCACGGGUUUAUAUCAGUCCGGUCACCUUCAGUUCUCUCGACUCGACUAAAUGUGUUUUGAUUUCAGUCAUUAUUGGCAAAUCUCAUACUGUAUUUACAUUUAUAUACAAGCUUUUAUUUAAAGCAGCUUGAAUUGUAUUCAAGAUAUAAAUUUUAUUACUCUAUGCAUUCCCUGGGAAUCUAACCAAGAUUACUAGCAAGAUUUGUGCAAGAGUCGAUUAAUGUGUGAUUAAUAAAUAUAUUCAUUAGAUGCACACAGACACAUCCCAGUCCUGUCCGUUAACACCCGGGAUUCAUUUACUGAUGGUGAGGAAAAUAGUUUGAGUGGCAGUAGUUUAAACACCGCAGACGUUCGUGAGAAUCAUCCGGCUGAUUCAUGUCAUUCAUUUUUAGCUUUUCCACUCUUACGUCAAUACAGCACGAGGACGGACGGUCGGAGAGACUGAUGCAGACAGACAGGAGGGAAAAAACGGAGGGAGGGAGGGUGUGUGUUGAGGAGUAACUAACUAAAAGUAGUCAUGUCACUACCUCCUCUCAUCUACAUUCAUCUACAUUUAACUAUGUCUACAUUAAUUAAUUCUUUUUAGAUUAACUAUCUAAACCAGUCUAAUCAACUGAAAUAAUUGCUGUUACUGGUUAAUCUAAACCUGUUGCAGAUGCAGGAGAGUUUCUUAGCAACUAGUUCUUUGAAAUUGAGUGUCUUUUUGAGUAGCAAAUAAUUUUUGCAUUCACUUGAUGUUUUGGUCGCAUUUUAUUGUGUGACGAUUUGUUUAGGCCAUUGUCUUGAAUGAACGGUUCAAAACAAUUCAUUUGAUCUCUGUGCUGAUUCAAGUGUUUUUUUUAGUGAGAUAUUUAGUUAGUCACACUUUUCUGUUCUGAUAUAUAAAUUAUGUUUUGUUUGUUGUAUUUAGUGUAAAUUAAUCUACUUAAGGCAAGACACUACAUGUAAAUAGGGUUAUAAAUUGAACUAAUAAAUAUCAGCAUACUUUUCCUGUUGAUUGAUUACAUAAAGAACAGCAAAUAUUUUUUGUAUUACUAUUUUUUUUUAAUGUUAUGUUUAAAUGUGCUACAAAAACAUGCACUCAUUUGCAUAUAUUUCCAGAACAGAAAUCUGAAUCCAUAUUCAAAAUCCUGUUUGAUUUUGUUGACAUAUUAGUGUUAAAGGUUUUUCCAGAUGGAGAUUUGGAAUUUCUGUGAAAAAUGCUAUUUUGCCAUGUUUUUAGAAUAAAAUGUUGUAUAAAUCAGUGUGAAUAAAAUUUGACCAAACCCCACACUCACAGCCUUUAAAGUACAUAGACAUUCUCACCAUGUUUAAAGGAUAAGAUGUUGUAUAAAAUCAGAAAAUCAAAUAUGAACAAACCCCACAGUAAAAACCUUACAUAAUAUAGAGAGGAAUAAAACUGUAAGUUUUGGUGUUUGUAAGUGUUGCUGAAGUGGAGAAAAAACUUUUAAAGAUAUGUAUUGGAAUGUAAAUCAGCAGAUGCAAAUAGAUGAAGUGCGAUAAAAUAAACACUUCAAAGUGUAUUUAGGGCGUUUUCUUUCCAAUAGUCUCUAAAAUAAAAUAUCUCCAAAUAUCCCAAAAUCUCAAAAUUGAAUAGUUCUUAAAAACAGUGUUUACCUGUAGUUUCAGAUUUAACCGCGUCUCUCUAAAUGAAAUCCAGUUUUUGUCGGUUUUAUUUAGACAAUUUUUAUAAUUUAACAACAAAUUUAACAAUUUCUGCUGCUGUGAAAGUCAAAAUAAACAUCAUAAUCUGAUAUAUUUAAAAAAUAUUUAUUGACAUAUAUUUCAAAGAUACUACCCCUUUAAAUAGUUUCCCUGUAGCUUCAUCAGCUUCUUGUUAGUACGGUUUGGUAAUGUUUCUUUAAAAAGACUAGUUUGACUGUGGAUUAAAAAGAAAUGUAAGAUCCAGUUUGACAGCAGCUUCACAUCAGAUGCAGUGACUCAAACUCAGUCAAUAAAAUCUGUAAUCAAUUCACUCUGAAUCCGAAUUCAGAACAUGUUAAGAUUUAAAGGAAGUUUUUCUGUGCAACUAGUGACUGAUAUAAACGACUACGGGACGUGAUGAUAUGAGCAAUCAGAUUGUGAUCUAAAGCUAAGAACAGUGUCAGAUGUACAAUGAUUUCUUUCUUGUAGAUGUGAGGAGGUGUGUAAAUGUGUUAAUGACGUGUGUGUGUGUGUGUGUGUGUGUGUGUGUGUGUGUGUGUGUGUGUGUGUGUNNNNNNNNNNNNNNNCCUUGCCAGCCCGCUCAGAGAUGUGUAUAAGAGACAGAACUCACAC